AUUGAACGCUGGCGGCAGGCCUAACACAUGCAAGUCGAACGAGUGGCGGACUGGUGAGUAAUGUCUGUGAAACUUCCUGAUGGCGGGGGAUAACUACUGGAAACGGUAGCUAAUACCGCAUCCCAUCGUAUGUGCCCAGAUGGGAUUAGCUAGUAGGUGGGGUAACGGCUCACCUAGGCGACGAUCCCUAGCUGGUCUGAGAGGAUGACCAGCGAAAGUGGAACGGAGACACGGUCCAGACGCCUAAGGGAGGCAGGAGUGGGGAAUAUUGGACAAUGGGCGAAAGCCUGAUGGAGCCAUGCCGCGUGUAUGAAGAAGGCGUUCGGGUUGUAAAGUACUGGCAGCGGGGAGGCGUUAACCGAAGAAGAAGCACCGGCUAACUCCGUGCCAGCAGCCGCGGUAAUUG
rnacentral:rRNA from 1 species